rnacentral:tRNA from 1 species
GGGAUAGUGGCUCAGUGGAAGAGUCUCUGCUUGGCAUGCUAAGGGUCCCAGGUUCAAAUCCCGGCAACUCUA